rnacentral:rRNA from 1 species
AUUGAACGCUGGCGGCAGGCCUAACACAUGCAAGUCGAACGGUAGCACAGAGAGCUUGCUCCCGGGUGACGAGUGGCGGACGGGUGAGUAAUGUCUGAGAAACUGCCCGAUGGAGGGGGAUAACUACUGGAAACGGUAGCUAAUACCGCAUAACGUCUUCGGACCAAAGUGGGGGACCUUCGGGCCUCACACCAUCGGAUGUGCCCAGAUGGGAUUAGCUAGUAGGUGGGGUAAUGGCUCACCUAGGCGACGAUCCCUAGCUGGUCUGAGAGGAUGACCAGCCACACUGGAACUGAGACACGGUCCAGACUCCUACGGGAGGCAGCAGUGGGGAAUAUUGCACAAUGGGCGCAAGCCUGAUGCAGCCAUGCCGCGUGUAUGAAGAAGGCCUUCGGGUUGUAAAGUACUUUCAGCGGGGAGGAAGGCGAUGGAGUUAAUAGCUUCAUCGAUUGACGUUACCCGCAGAAGAAGCACCGGCUAACUCCGUGCCAGCCGCCGCGGUAA